GUGCCAGCAGCCGCGGUAAGACAGGGGAUACAAGCGUUACUCGGAAUCACUGGGCGUAAAGCGUCUGUAGGUGCCGAAGAAAGUCUGUGGUAAAAGUCCGGGGCUUAACCCCGGGAGCGUCAUGGAAACUUCUUCGGUUGAGCAGUGGAGAGGCAUCUGGAAUGUCGCAUGUAGGAGUAAAAUCCGUAGAUAUGCGAUGGAACGCCAAAAGCGAAGGCAGGAUGCUGGCCACUUGCUGACACUGAGAGACGAAAGCGUGGGGAGCGAAGGGGAUUAGAUACCCCCGUAGUCC
rnacentral:rRNA from 1 species